CAAGGAGCCAAAGUUCACCUUAUUCAAAGUAAACAGCCUUCCAUCUCAGAUGUUGAAUUUCCUGGCAAUUGCGUAUGUAUUACAAUCUUUUACCAUGACUUUAGAGGAUAGCUAAUUUUGCUUGCUAUUAAAUAAUAAUUUCGGUAGUCUAUAAAUACUCUUGUUCCUCACUGCUUCUUGCACCACAUAAUUCUUUCAAGAACUACCAAAACCUUCUUGAAAUCCCUCUCUUUCCUUUUAGUUCAUUUCCAAGAAACCAAUUGAACCAUCAUGGCCCCUGUCACUUCCAGUUAUGAGGUCACCUCCUCAAUCCCUCCUGCAAGGUUGUUCAAGGCCACCAUCCUUGAAGAGAAACAUCUUCACAAGAUCUUGCCACAGGGUGUUAAGAGUGUCGAAAUCCUUGAAGGAGAUGGUGGAGUUGGCACAAUUAAGUUGACCACAUUUGUUGAUGGUAAGAUAAUCAAUACAAAGUGAUUAUUUUCACACAUUUGAAGUCUUCAAAUUGCUCCUUUUUUUUUCCUUUUAUUUGGGAAAAACUAAUGACUUUUUUUUUUGGUUGGGUUAAAUAUUUAGGUGGCGAGCAUAAGACUGCCAAGCAGAGAGUUGAUGGAAUUGACAAAGAAAAAUUUACAUACAGUUAUACUGUACUUGAAGCUGAUGGAUUUAACGAUGUAAUCGAGAAAAUCUGUUGUGUCAUCAAAUUUGAACCCUCUGCUGAUGGAGGUUCAAUCUGCAAAACCACUAACACAUACCACCCCAAAAGUGGUGCUCAGAUCGGUGAGGAACACCUCAAGGGAGGAAAAGAGAUGGGUUUGGGAAUGGUUAAGGCUGUUGAGGCUUACCUCCACGCAAAUCCUACUGCCUACAACUAAUUAUAAUGAAUGCUACUGAAGGACUCUUCGACAUAUUUUCUUCAAGAUUGAAGUACACACUGAGGGUGUGUUUCCUUUUUUGCUUGGUUUGCUUUAAGCUGUUUGGUUAAGUUAAAAACAAAAUUGAAUCAUAGAGAGAACAAAAAAAAUAUAGUGUUUCUUAUGGAGAAAAAAAUGGAGCUGAUGCCUAAAAUCUCACAUGGAUCCAACUCAGUCCAUUUAAUGGAGAAAAGGCAAAUAACACAACAAGAAUAUGCUCAAAGUUGGAAAAAUGUGCUAUAAUUAUGAUUACUCCUUUAUGAAAUAAAGCUGAAAGCAGCUCAAUUUCUUUUUGUUUUCCAUAUUAUUCAAUUUCGUUGUCGAUUUUUGAUAGAUGUAUUUUUUUUAUUGCUUUAAUAAGGGCUAUGAUUGGAUAUCCUGUUAUGCCAUUGGCUGUCGAUGCUAAACCUGAUAAAUUAGAUGGAUCAUCCAAAUAAAGACAAAAUUGGCUAUGUAAACAUUGGUGAGGGACUAUUUCAGCUUAAGAAAAAUAGUUGAGGGACUAAAUUGGCUUAUAAUAAAAUUAGGGACUAUUUCAGCUUUGUAAAAAUAGUUGAGAGACUAAAUUGACUCAUGAAAAGUUUAGGGACUAUUUUGACAUUAACGAAAUAGUUUUGGGACUAUAAACAUUAGGUCACAAUGUUGAAAUAUCAAAACACAUGUUUGGGACCAAAACUCAUAGAACUUCUUCACGUCGCCAACGAAAUUUGAUUCUGAAGUAAUGCUAAUUUUAUUUAUUAUUUGUUUCCUUGCUGGUCUUCUGUCUUUUUGGUUACAAUAUUAAAAUGUAUCCAUAAUUUUCAAUUCCAAAAGUGUUGAAUAUUUAAACGAAUUCUAGGAAGGGCACUGAGAGUCAAAAUCUUAUUCAAACAGCCAGCCAUCUCAGAGUACAUAUUUUUUUAUUAUCAGGUUUAAAAUGUAUCUAUUGCAAUUUUUGAAUGAUUAGCCAUGACUAAGAGAAUAAAAUAAUUCACUUGCUGUUUUUAGAUAUGAAUUCAUGACUGUCAGUAGUCUAUAAAUACACUUAUUGCUCACCACCCUUAAUUUGCACCGCAAAAUCUUUUCAAGAUCUAUCAAACCCUCCUGUUCUUGAUCUUUGUCCAUUUGUGAAAAAGCAAAUUAAAGCAUCAUGGCUCCUAUCACUUGUAGUGCUGAGAUAACCCCCCCAAUCCCUCCUGCAAGGUUGUUCAAGGCCGCCAUCCUUGAUGACCACCUUCUUCCCAAGAUCAUGCCACAGGCUAUUAAGAGUGUGGAAAUCCUUGAAGGAGAUGGUGGAGUUUGAACGAUUAAGUUGAGCACAUUUGGUGAAGGUUAGAUGUUAUAUUAAAUGUAGAACCCAAAUUUUAAGGAUCUAAUAAUAAUCAAUGCGUGCAGGGUUACAGAAUUGAAGGGAUAAAAUAAAUAUUCAAAAUAUACGUGGAAGAAAAGAAAAUAAUAAUUCAACUCACAAUAUUAUUAAAAUUUCAAACAAUGAAAAAAAUCACACCACAAUAAAUUUAGCUGGUUCUAAUAAUAAUCAAAGCAUACAAGCUUACAGAAUUAAAAGGAUAAAACAAAUACUCAAAAUAUAUGUGGGAGAGAAGAAAAUAAUAUAUUCAACACACAAUAUUAUUGAAAUCUCAAACAAUGAAAAAAGUCACACCAUAAUAGAAAACCUUGCAAAUUUUUCUAGAUUCUUUCUCUUGAGAAACCAACCUAAAUAAUAUCCUAUUUAUAAUCUACCAAACUUGUUAGGAAAGAAAUCACUUGCGUAAGAAAUUACGAAAUAAAACAGAAAUUCCUAAAUCACACAACUACUAAAAACAUAACUCAAAUAAAAUUAGAAAAUAAAUAAAUAUUUCUAGGCUUAGUUUAAUUUGUCAACAUUGCCUCCCUUAAACCAAACUAUCCAGUGAGAUAGGUUCAACACCAUCUCAAGCAACAAUUUCUAUGUAAAUCUAUGUCGUAGUAUACUUGACAUGAAACUCUAACUUGUUAUUGGUUAUUAAUUUUGUCUUUACAUGUAACAGUGGAUGCACUAUGUAUUUUGUAAAAAAAUUCUCAACAAUUUCUUCUUGAUCAAAGUACUCACUUAUAUAAACCCAUUCAUCACCAGAAUCACCAUAUUUACCACCAAUGUAAGUGCCUAAAAUUACAAAAUCAUAGAUUGCUUUCUCGCUAAAAUUAUCAUCACCAAAUAAUUCAAAAUAACCACUACUACAAUCAUCCAAAAAUUUCAUACUGUCAGUCAACUCUUUUGGAGUAAAAUAUUUUUCAACUCCAAUGUCAUCCAUAUCUAUCAAAUCAAACAUUCUCCCAUCACUUUGAAGAGACUCCGAACCAACGAAUUUUUCAACAGCAAUUUCAUGUUCUCUUCUCUUAUCAAAUCAAAAUUUUCUUCUUCUUUUGUCAAAUUACCAUAUUAUUUUUUUUCAACAAAUUCAUUACUUCUAAUUUCUCCAAACAAGGUACGCAAAUCAAAAAUAUCAAUUGAUCCAAAAUUUUCGGUAUCAGCCAUAUUAUCAACAAAUCUAUCAUUUUUUAAAUCCACAAACCAAUACCAGCAACUAGACUUCAGUUCGAAAGCAUAAUUUCUUUCAAUCAUGUGCAAAACAUAGUAAAUAUGCUUCCAAAAUCUCUAAAGUAUUUUAGUACGACCGAUAAAGGUUUUAUAAAUACUUUUUGCCAUUAUUUUACGCAUCACUUGAAAGAAUAAUUGUGCCUUUUUCUUAAAAACAUGUUUUUACAACUUAAUUGCAUCAACCCAACAAAGAAUAUCAUCCAAAUUACAUUGUUUGAGAUAUUUUUCCACUGUUAAAAUCCAACCAAAAUAUGUAUGUCUAUUUGUGCUUAUAGGAGUCAAUAUGGAAAAUUUUUCACCAUCAAUCAGAUCUUUAUAAUAUCCAUUAUUUAACAAUUUGUAUACCUGAAUAAAUUUUUUUCCUCCAUCCUAUCAUGUUUUCUUGCCCUCCAUGGUUGACUGACCAAAUUAUUGUUGUAUGUAUACCCAUGCUCGUCAAACCUCAUUCGUGUACACUCGUAAGGAGUGGUUCUGAGCUUAUUGUGAAUGCUCAGUACCAAGAAGUAGAAGAGAUAAUGCAUAAGAGAGAAUUAACUUGGCUAAAGAAUUGGGAAGCAAUUUAGGGAUUUUUUAAGAAAUUAAUUCUCCAACCGCCACUUUUGGAAAUUUCUAUCAACAACUAGUUACCAAAACACUAGCACAUAGUAAGAAAUCCGGAUAAUUUCAUAAACCUACCUUUAGGUUUUUAAUAAUUUCAAGAAGCUCUCCUCAAUAUUUUAAAAUUACACAUACUUUCCCUAUUGGUGCAAAAGUACUCUACUACCCCUAAUAGGAUACUCAAAAGACUUUUUUAUGGGAAAAAAGAAGCUCAGAAAGCCAAGCAAAAACAAAAAUCAAUUGAUUUUCUCUUUUAGCCUUUUACGCUUUUGCCUUCUACCUUUACGCGCUUUCCCAUGCCAAUCUUCCUAUAACGACUUCCCUAGUCCCCUUUCCCCAACUUUUCUCCUCUACUUCAAGACCAAUUUUUGUCCAUCAAUCCUGGCUUGUGCUUUGUUACAUUCCCUUCCCUUCUCCUUUUUUGAUUUCCCCUACAUCUCCUUUUCUCUUUGCAAAAGUGACUAGGCUCGUCUCUCUCUCUCUUUUCCCCUAUUCUAAGUGUAGUGGAUUUGAUUAUUUUGCAUCUAUUUUAUUUGAUUUUGCUUGAUUAUGGGUGAUAAAACUUGGUGAUAUCAACCAUCAUAAGUUUGAUAGAUGGAUAUUGGGCUUUAGGCAAUGAUUUGUUGAAAAAAAAUGGCUGCAAUGAGAGGAAGAGGCAAGGGGAUUUGAGUGUGGGGUUGAUUUUUGAUGAAUUGUUGUUUUGGACAAAAUUUGAGGUUGAGUUUUAUCAAAUUUGGUAGCAAGUGGCGAGAUUUGUUCUGGUUGUGGGAAAUAAAUUGGAUUGUGGUUUCUUGGGCACCCACAGUUGUUGGAAUUGGUUUUGAUUCAAAUAAGGGUGGUUACUUGAUUUUCCUAAUAGUGUUGCUUAAGAGCACACGAUCAUCAAAAUUCCUUAUUUUUAUCUUUUAUUUGUAGAAAAGAUUUCAUGACUUUCAUGAUAGUCUAAUUUGGAAGAAGGCAAUCAAGGGAUGCAAUCAACAUUUAGCAAAAGCUCUUGUUCUUUUCUUUGUAAAUUUCUGGGUAAAGAGGGUAGUUUAGGGUAUUUGAAGGAAAUGAUAGCCUAUUGGGCAUAUUUUGAAGCAUAAAUAGUGAAAGUGAGGGAGGUUGGUGUAAUUUCUGAAACCUAAGGGAAGCUGUCUGAAAUUGUCCUAGACCUCAGGGUAGGUUUCUGAAAUUAUCCCUAGAAAUCAAAUGCGAAACUUGAUUAGUACACGCACACACCACACCGCACCGCACCCCGCCAUGCGUGUAUUGAGGACCGAUGUCCGUAACGAACCACAAGCAGGUUUUCAAUUUCUUUUUUCCUUUUCUGGAUUCUCCAGAGAUAGUGUCAACUUCUAUUAGUGAUGAGCAGGAGGAAAUGCACAAUAUAAAGUACAGAUCACCCAUAUUCUUUUUAAUUGCACAAUGUAUGAGAUUAUGGUGAUUCGAAAUUAAAUUAUAGGUUUAUUGGGCUACGAAUCCAAAGUAAGCGUUGGAAAUGUAUUGUGACAACAAUUGUUAACUUAGGCCACAAAUGAUCAAAAUAAAUAUUGAAGGUUUAAUAUGAGAUUAUGGGUACGUUCAAAAUAUAUUUACUCAAAGAACAAAGUUAUUCGACUAUAUGUUUAUUCACGUCUACUAACUUAUUUAAAGUCAUUUUUUAUUUCACUAUCCAAAGAAGAAUUCUUGGGCGUUAACAUUUUUCUUACAUGCCAAGACUAUUAAUGCAAGUUGACCCAAAUCUCUCUCCCUUUUUCUCUCAAUUCUUAGGACGUACUGAUGCCAAUUCUUACCGUUUAGAAAGAAAAAUUAGAUUGUUUAUAUAUAUGAUGAGUUCCCUCUAAGUCAUGGUUAAGAAAAAUUCUUAGUUAAACGCAGUUUUAUGAAAUGUGAAUUUCCUUUUCUUUGUCUUUAUUCAUUGGUAUUAUUGGGGUUAUUGUAUUAUGAUUGCAAUGCACAGAUACAGGGAUUUAAUCGACUCUGACUAUGUCUCAAACUCGAGACCUUAUGCUUGUAAAAAUUCAGAAGAAUAAUUUUGGACCUUAUUACUUAAUAAUGGUACAAUUAUGAGAGUCAUUCCAGGUUAAUUAUCAAACUUGGAACUUGAAAAUAAUGUCGACAUCAUGUCAUUAUUAUUUUUUUAGUUUCAUAGAAAAAUGAAGUAUUCUCCGACUCGACAUUAUCAUAGUGUAUUUUCAAUUGGCAGCUCAUGUGAGAAAGACAAGAAAUUCACAAUCAACUGGCCAAGAGAGUGCCAACAAAGAAAGCACUAAAUGGCUUAAACAAAGCAUGCAAAUUUGCUUAGCACUUAAACAAUAGACACCUAAAUCAACCAUGUCACUGUCUUGCCAAAAAAAUUCACAAUCAACUGGCCAAGAGAGUGCCAACAAAGAAAGCACUAAAUGGCUUAAACAAAGCAUGCAAAUUUGCUUAGCACUUAAAAAAGGGCAUUAAAGUAAAAACAACUCAUGCCUACCACAGGUAACAAACUUCAGCACCUUCACUUCACUGCCACGUCAUCAACAACAUUUGCAAAUUUCCAAGGAAGUCCACGCACUAAAGGUGCCCAUGCCCCAUAGGGGACCUCAGGUUAGUGUUCUUAACAUCAACUCCUGUCUUUCUGCUCUUAAACGUUAUAACUAAUCCUGAUUUCCUUAUGCUGUAUUUGUACACAAUUUGGCAACUAGGGUGUCCUUUCUUGGGCCAAAUUGGACAAGUAAAAAAAAUAAAAAUUAAAAGGUUUAUCUGCAAACUGUAGUUCGGCCUGGCUUCUUUUUUUUUUUUGGAUAAGAUCAUCUCAGCACCCGCAGACCCCGUCAUGUAUCAAUAUUUCUGUACUUAGCAUUGGCUUCUUCUCGCCUGAAGAACACACGAACCACCGAAAUAGAUGGUGCAUGAAAGUGCACUUAACCCUUUUAAUUUUUCAAAACAAUGCUUUUAGAAAAAAUAAUAAAAACUUUUUGAAUUUAAUUUUAGAGAAGAAGAAUUUUAAAAUUUUUUGAAUUUAAUCUUAGAGAAGAAGAAGUUUAAAAUGUACUUUCAUUUUCACAACUGAUGAUGAAGAUAGCAAAAUGUACACGGAUAGUGACAAAAGUGGGAUCACGGGCAGGAAAUCCUGAAGGUUACGUGCAUUUUGUACACGGCAUAAUUCUGUUUGUAUAUGGUAUACCUUACUUUUUACAACGUGUAUUUUUAGAACAAAAUUUUGUGAGUCUCACACAUUUUAUUAAAAAUGAGGUACAAGAUGAAAUUUGGACCGUAUAAUUUUUUUUAAUCAAAUCUUGACCGUGAACUGCUCAGGGACGAUCCACCUGAUGACCGUCCCUGCCCCAGAUCCGACAAAAGUGCCAUCUUAUCCUUUUACUGACUGGCCCGUUUUCCAAUGACAGCGCCCAGAAGGGGUGCCUCUGCUUCAUAGUUUAUCCAUAUUGAUAUUUCUUUUCUGUACCCCUGACUAUUAAAUGUGAAAGGGUGCCCACCAAAUUUGACGAAACCGUUUAUCCUAAUUGAUUAUUAUCAAUAGGGCAUAACUUUAAUAUUCUACUUCCAACCCUUUCUGGUGAUUCCUGCAACUCCAGCCGUCCGUCAAUGACCAUAGUGCACCAUUAACCGACAACUAACUAACCACUACUAAUCUAUUCUCAAAUUUUAAUGAAAUUGCACAAUUAGUUUUCAUUUCUCACUUUUAUUUCAAAUUUGGUCUCAAUUUAAUGUGAAUCCCAAUAAAUAAGACCGGAGUUGAAAUCAAAGAAGGUAUUUCAAUCACCAUCAGAUAAAUUCUUCAUAUCUAGUUUCGUUUUUGAGAUGCAUAGAAAAUGUAAGCUGAUUUUUCAAUCUACGAGAAAAACGAAGUCUAAGAGAAUAAUUUUGUCAAAAUUUGACAAUGGAAUAACAGUUGUGAACCGUUGGUCACUGGUUGGCAGCUAGAAGUUAUAGCAGUUUUAAGCAUAAUUGGAGAAAGUAAAAGAUUAAAACUACGUUGUCUACUAUUAACGACUUACAUUGACAAAAUGGCUAAAGCUAGGGUUGAAAAAUAAAUCAAACUACGUGACAUUUGAAUCAACUGCGAUUUGGUAAGAGUUUAUUUCAAUUUGGUUUGUCAACUAGUCAAAUCAAAUUUAAACAACAUUUUAUAGUCGAUAACUUUGAAACUUGAUAAAAAAAAGUCUGUUUAAACUCGGUUUAGUAAAUAAACAAAUCAAGUUUGAACAAAAUUUUAAACUCAUUAAAAUAAUUAAAUACGUUUGAAUACUAGGGUAUUCGAUUUAAUUAGACACGUUUGUACCCCUAAUUAAAGUAUGCACUUUUCUAAGUUUAGGAAUCAACAUUAUACAUUUAAUAGCUAGCUAGAGGGUCAAAAAGUUAAUUGCCUUAAAUUCUUUUAGCAGCCACAAGGUAUAGUUGGAGGGAUUCCCUUGAAAUUGAUUAGAUUCUUCUAUGUGACUAAAGAAUUUCGGAUGUGACGCAUUACUAGUCCUACCCUAAAAAAAAUGGUAUUACUAGUCCUUUUAUUCUUUUUUGGCGUGCCCCCGCCGUGGGGUGUGGGGAGGGGAGCCUGUGCGAGAAUUCUAGAUGGGGUACAAGGAGCCAAAGUUCACCUUAUUCAAAGUAAACAGCCUUCCAUCUCAGAUGUUGAAUUUCCUGGCAAUUGCGUAUGUAUUACAAUCUUUUACCAUGACUUUAGAGGAUAGCUAAUUUUGCUUGCUAUUAAAUAAUAAUUUCGGUAGUCUAUAAAUACUCUUGUUCCUCACUGCUUCUUGCACCACAUAAUUCUUUCAAGAACUACUAAAACCUUCUUGAAAUCCCUCUCUUUCCUUUUAGUUCAUUUCCAAGAAACAAAUUGAACCAUCAUGGCCCCUGUCACUUCCAGUUAUGAGGUCACCUCCUCAAUCCCUCCUGCAAGGUUGUUCAAGGCCACCAUCCUUGAAGAGAAGCAU
rnacentral:lncRNA from 1 species